GAAAGUAGGAAUUUUAAGGAAUAAUAUGAGUGUACAUCAAUGUCCCCAGAACAAGAACGACUGGGACACCGCCUCCAAGAGGUUAUAGUGUGUGGACCCUAACAGUUACCACUGUCUUCUUACACAAGAUGGUGUAGGGACUGAGCAGUGUCUGGGCAGAGUCUGGAUCAAGGAAAGUACAUUUGAAUAUGAAAACAAAGUUUCGGAUGGGUUGGCCCAUAGUAACAUGCAUUCUUGGGCUGUAUCUCUGUCACGUGGUCUAUGUCCAAGCUUCAAUGCAAUGUGCACAUACACUUGAUGGAUGGAAUAGGGGCAGUGUAUCACUGCAAUGCCAGGAGCCGAAACAUUAUCAUUGUCUACCAGACGAAUUUGGUCACUUUAUUCAAAAGUGUUCCAAUAGAAUUUUGGUACCACCAGGUAUAUUUAAAAAUUUACCGUUAAACUUAAAAGUAAGUACAUCCCAUUUCGAAGUAAACCAAAAUAUGGCAUUAUUUGCAUUUUUCACGAAAAUCAGCUAAAAUUUUUUGUCAAAUGAGGCACGUAUACAAUCAGAUAAAAUAGAUAUGCAGUGGGUAUAAUUUUGAAAUAUUUGGCAUUAGCAAUGUUUUAUAGUUUAAAAUGUGAAUGAGUUUUCAUGUUUUAAAGGAAUGUGCCCCAGGUUCAACAGUGAAUCCGGACAAAUUAAUGUGUUUGAAUGCCAAUCCAAUCAAAACAGUUGCCCACCCAACCCUUUUUGGUCAUAUGAUGUACAGGUGUUGAUAUAUUAUGGAUGUUAUAUACGAAUAAAUCCAACAACAACAGAGAUAGAAAUAACAUCCAUUACAAAACUACCUUCCUCGCCGUUGAUCACACACAUGACGUCAAAAGAUUAUGACAUCUCCACUUUUUCUGACAAUAUCUUCAAGAAAAACCCAAACAGUGCUACCACUUUGGCUCUCGUGAUACCAAUAGUACUAGUUAUGUGUGUCACUAUUUUGAUCACCGGGAUUAUAUAUCAUGUACGAAAACGGAGACACAGAGGGGAAAAUGGUGAAUUAGAAAACCAAAGUGACAAUCAAACUAGGCAAUCCUUACGAGUAAAUGAAGAUAGGGAAAUGUCAUCUAGGCUGCUUGGUAGGUGUUUAAUUUAAACAUUUUUUAUCAGUUAAAAC